rnacentral:lncRNA from 1 species
ACCAACAUGGGCCACUGUGCUCCCCUGGGGACAUGUGGGGACAUUUAAGUGUCCACGGUGAGAGUGCCAGUGCUGUGGGAGUUAGAUUCAGGAAAGCUGCAUAAAGUCCCACUGGAUAGGGCAGCUCUCCUCCCCCAACCAAAAAACCAGUCAGCUGAAGAUACUAACGUUGUGUGGGUUGAGAAACCAUGGGAGCUAAUGCUAAUGCUUUUUCGAAGCCAACAACCUGAUGUUUCCAUCAGAAAGUACCAUUAGCACCCUGGGUAAUGGCCACAUACCCUCAGAGGAGUCUGAAAAUAUGAAGACAUUUUUACAAAUAGUGGGUAACUAUUUAGGCCAGUCUUUUGCCAGCUCACCUUGUUUACAUCAUUUCUAAUAUGGCCCCACAGUAGGAUGGUACAAAAUACAUGACUACUAAGAUCUCUUCAUUUCAUUUCACGUAUGACAAGUGGUUUGUUUCACGAAAUAGACUAAACUGAUGAUAUAGACACACUGGGUAGGGUUGAGGUAGAGAAAGACUGAACAACCCUGUGAAUUGAUUCUUGGAGAAAACUCCAAGAUGAAGAUUAUUGAUAAGGAGUCAACUGAGGAAUGGGCCUGUGGCUUGGCAUUAAAGCUCUUACUGAGCAUGUGCAAGGUCCUAGGCUUCCUUCCCAGCAUCACUGAGACUGGAGUCAAUCAAGUGCAAGACCAUUUAGUUCUUAAAAUACCUUGGAUGAAUUUAGAGCCAACUUUUGUACCACUGUUUGUGAGAAAUCUUGGGAAAGUUGAAUAUUUCUAUAUAAAAUAAUGGUUACAAACUUAUUUUUUUAAAUUUGCCAAUUAAAAUUUCCAUAAAAAUCAUUGC